AGCAGAGCACCACACCGGUAGCAUCUGACAACACUGGUGACCCCGACCACUGAUCUGGUUUCCACCUUUGGCUCCCAAACAUAACAAAGCAUCAUGAAAGUAUACCCUCAAAUACCCUCAAAGUACUGUAUUUAAAAUUUAUUUUUGUUUAAUUUUAUAGUUGGUUUAAUUUUAUAUGCUUUUCUUUUGUUAUGUUAUGUUAAUGGGAAGCAAUGGUUGUUAAAGUUUGUGCAUCUAAACAGUUAACAAAAGUGAAAUUGGUAUCACAAGCAAAUUAACUCUAAAAAGCUUGGUAAAAAUUCUGUUAACUCCUUUGCUGAAACAAAUUGUUCAGCAAGGGAAAGAAAUACACCUUCUUAUGGAAGAUUGUGAGCAUUUAUUUUAGCUGUUAAGCAUUACAUUUUGUAUAAAAAUAUUAGUAAUGCACAUCAAAUGAAAAAGAAUGUCUAUACAACAAUUGCAAAAGUAUAGCUUGUGUUAUAAAAGGCUCGGUCCCUAUUACCUUGUUCUUAUUACAUUGUAAACAAACUAAGUUAAACUGUGUAUUAAGUUUGAGUUACUGAAAACAAAAACAAAAACAAAAAACAAAAACUUUACUCUGUUUACUAACAAAAGUUGUUUGAGUUGCAUCCCACAGACUAAAGACACCAGAAGACAUCACGCCACAAAAAUACCAGAUGAUAUCAGUAUAUAGUAAAGAAACCCACAAGCAUCAAGAAAAGAAAAAUGAAGAGCUUUAUAAAUAAGAGACUGGUCAAAUACACCUCUAUCUACCAUAUAUGGACAAUUAACUUAACAAUCAGCUAAAAAACCACUAGCUGGACCAAAAUAAGCCAUCAUUUAAUUUCAACUUGGGUACUAUGUAAAAACAACUGUAUUAUUGCUGUACUGCUGUAUUAUUGUUGUACUGUUGUCUUAUUGCUGUAUUGUAAUAUUGCUGUACAACAUUUACAAUGUGCAUAACCUUGCUAAACUGUUUAACCAAUACACAGGUAAAAAUCAACAAACAAAUGGCAGCAAACAACAUGAA